rnacentral:piRNA from 1 species
UAGCAAAAGCUAUAAAGUGGUACCCGGGU